rnacentral:lncRNA from 1 species
UUAUUCAUUUCAAAAUGGUGCUUGUUUAUAUGAUUAUGUUGAUUUGGUGUAGAAACGAAUGCCAACUGCCACGCCCAAGAUCAACAAGGGAACAAGAAACUGAAGGAUCUUGAUGAUGAACUCCGGCGUCUUAUCCUGAUUAUAUUGAGGUUGUUUUGGAGCAGUGUAGUCAACCUUAGAGGGAAUGGUUGAUACAUCGAUAUCUCCAAUAUAAUACUCGUCCAUCAUCGCUGAUGCACUUGAGCUAUGACCAACGUCGUUGAAAUCAUCAGUUGCAUCUUUCCCUGCAAACAUUUGUCGUUUGGACUAUAUCAAAACAAAAGACAUUUAUUUAUAUUUACAUUUAUGAUGCACCGACACAGGUACAUGCACCAAACAAGACCCUUAUACACCAAUAACAAUUUGAAAAAAUAGAAAUGAUUGAAUGAAACCACAUGUGUCGGACACCAGACUCGAGUUAUCAAAAUAGACUGGGCCCAGCGGGCUGUGCCAGUCGGCUCCCAUUUUAGUCUCAGCCUAAAAACAAUAAUCUUUUUGGCCAAGCCCAUUUUAAAAAUAGGGUUGAUUGGGCUGGGCUGGCCCAUGUGUAGAAGAAAAAGAUAAACCAGUUUUUUUUUUUCAAAAAUAAUCAGAUUUCUUCAUUUUCUUGGUCUCAAUUUUAGAAAAAGUUAUUCAUCUUAAUUUCUCAAAAGAAGUUUUUUCACGUUUAAAGGAGUUGAUACUAAUUUGUCCAAAAAUGUUCAUAGCAGUUAUUAUUUAAUGAAACUCAAUAGCAACGAACUUUAAGAAAAACUAAAACUCAGUAAUAAAUUAGCGGUAUAAAGAGUAAUAUCAAUAACUAAUACACUUAAAAUGUGUAAUGUGUUUCAUAUAUUAAAAACCAAAAAAGUAUCGUACUUGUCUCUUAUAAAAAGAAUUGAAGGGAGUAAAAGUACCAAAACCAGCAAAUUUAUCAACACAAACAUUACCUUGUGUGUGAAAAUGAGAAUCAACCAAAAACUUUAUAUUGUUAAAACCCCAUAAAACUAUUCAGGUUCUGGUAGCAAAUGAAUGACAGAGAAAGACAAUAUGAGAUUUAAAAGCAAAUUACAAGGAAAAGGCAAACAAAGCACAAUAUCACAUUGCAUAUCCUAGCAAACCUCAUCAUUGGAGCACUUGAGAACAAAACAGUCCUUGUCUUUCAACAGUCAACAAACACUAACAUAUUAUUCAUUUCAAAAUGGUGCUUGUUUAUAUGAUUAUGUUGAUUUGGUGUAGAAACGAAUGCCAACUGCCACGCCCAAGAUCAACAAGGGAACAAGAAACUGAAGGAUCUUGAUGAUGAACUCCGGCGUCUUAUCCUGAUUAUAUUGAGGUUGUUUUGGAGCAGUGUAGUCAACCUUAGAGGGAAUGGUUGAUACAUCGAUAUCUCCAAUAUAAUACUCGUCCAUCAUCGCUGAUGCACUUGAGCUAUGACCAACGUCGUUGAAAUCAUCAGUUGCAUCUUUCCCUGCAAACAUUUGUCGUUUGGACUAUAUCAAAACAAAAGACAUUUAUUUAUAUUUACAUUUAUGAUGCACCGACACAGGUACAUGCACCAAACAAGACCCUUAUACACCAAUAACAAUUUGAAAAAAUAGAAAUGAUUGAAUGAAACCACAUGUGUCGGACACCAGACUCGAGUUAUCAAAAUAGACUGGGCCCAGCGGGCUGUGCCAGUCGGCUCCCAUUUUAGUCUCAGCCUAAAAACAAUAAUCUUUUUGGCCAAGCCCAUUUUAAAAAUAGGGUUGAUUGGGCUGGGCUGGCCCAUGUGUAGAAGAAAAAGAUAAACCAGUUUUUUUUUUUCAAAAAUAAUCAGAUUUCUUCAUUUUCUUGGUCUCAAUUUUAGAAAAAGUUAUUCAUCUUAAUUUCUCAAUACAACCCAAUUCACUUACAAAACAAGAAAAAAAAAACUAAAAUCACUAAAUCAGAAAGAAAGGAAGAGUCAGGCUAGCCCAUUAGCCCUCACAACCCACAAUAGUCGGGCCAAACUUAAAUAUUUGCAGUCCAUUGCAAAGUGGGUCGGGCCGCACUGACCUAUUUAUGUACUCUGGCCCACGUGGUCCUGACCGGACAGGGCCGACCCAUUUGAUACCUCUACACCAAACAUGCAUUGAAUCUGAAAUGUCGGUGCUACAUACAUCUCACGUCUCUGAGAUCAUGUGGUUUGAAUUGAAAAUUUUGAUAUUUUUAGAGAAAA